UAUUAUAGAGGUAAAAUGACAGCACA
rnacentral:piRNA from 1 species